rnacentral:ncRNA from 1 species
CAUCGUGAGGUGGAAUCUGAAGGAAGCUGGAGGCAAAGUCCCGGCCUGAGGAACACGAAUCGCAUCAGGCAUCCAAAGUGGGAUGAGUCUGCUAAACAAGACGAAAUCCAAUAAACUGCACGGACACGCGGAUGUAAAUGCGGCGGGUAUACGGGAUGAAAGUUAC